rnacentral:misc_RNA from 1 species
AGUCUAAUCAAACAGCCUGUCACUGGUCAAAAGACUUUGAUUGCAUACUGUGUUUUACAAGUAAACAAUUAUCAAAGAUAGGAAUUGAUAGCCUUGAUAGAGUAAAGACGGCUUUGGAGAAAUAAAAAUGAUCAAGCAUUUUAAACUCAAUCACUUAAUUUCCAAAUCACCAAAUGUCAGUUUAAAAAUAAAUAUCAAAGUGUUCAUUUUGAUUUAAGCAAAUUCAGAUGAGGUUUUUUUUGCUCUUGGUACACGACUUGCUGCUACACCAUGUAUACUGAAUAUUACUCUGACUUUUGUUUUUACAGGAAAACAUACUGUAAAAAGGAAUUAAACACAACAAAAAUAUUUUACUACAAAACAACAGACUGCUGUGAAGGCUUUGUGAAAACACCCAACAACACUUGUGUCAGUAAGUAACAAACAAUAAAGUUAGUAAAUAAAAUCAGUAAGUUUCACCAAACAACACUAGUGUCAUUAGGAAACACCCAACAACACUUGUGUCAAUAGGAAACACCCAACAACACCUGUGUCAGUAAUGCACACAACAACACUAGUGUCAGUAAGUAACACCCAACAACACUUGUGUCAGUAAUGCACAGAACAACACUUGUGUCAAUAGGUAACACACAACAACACUUGUGUCAAUAUGUAACACCCAACAACACUUGUAUCAGUAAUACACAGAACAACACUUGUGUCAAUAGGUAACACCCAACAACACUUGUAUCAGUAAUACACAGAAUCAAAUGCUCAUUUUUUACGAAUUAUGGCAGCCAAUAUUAGUUAACUUAUAAACUGUAGUCUUUCAGUAUUAUAUGGAUUGUCUUGAUUGUUUGAAGAUUGCUGAUCAAUGCUUUCUACCAUGUUAAAAACUAAGAUGCAUGUAUAUUUUAGAUCCAUGUUAAUAUUUUAGCUCCAUGUCCAAAGUACUCGUAUAUUGAUCUGUUUCCAUGCUAUUUAUCAUUUAUUCUAUUGUGAAACGUUUUGAAUUAUGUUCUAAAAAUAUAUGUACCAUAAUUGUUGAGCCAAUAAAAUAUUCACUCAC